UUACGGCCAAAUCAUGUCGUGGCACUGGUUCUCGUACGAUCACCGAAGUUAAGCAACAUCAAAUAGGUCAGUACCUAGAUGGGUGACUGCUUGGGAACACUAGGU